rnacentral:rRNA from 1 species
AAAGCGUACGUAGGCGGCUUUGUAAGUUAGAGGUGAAAGCCCGGAGCUCAACUCCGGAAUUGCCUUUAAGACUGCAUCGCUUGAAUCGUGGAGAGGUGAGUGGAAUUCCGAGUGUAGAGGUGAAAUUCGUAGAUAUUCGGAAGAACACCAGUGGCGAAGGCGGCUCACUGGACACGUAUUGACGCUGAGGUACGAAAGCGUGGGGAGCAAACAGGAUUAGAUACCCUUGU